rnacentral:rRNA from 1 species
GAUGAACGCUAGCGGCAGGCCUAACACAUGCAAGUCGAGGGGUAGCAGGAUUAAGCUUGCUUAAUUGCUGACGACCGGCGCACGGGUGCGUAACGCGUAUGCAACCUACCUUAUACUGGGGUAUAGCCCGGAGAAAUUCGGAUUAAUCCCCCAUAGUACUAUUUGAUCGCAUGGUUGAAUAGUUAAAGCAUUGCGGUAUAAGAUGGGCAUGCGUCCUAUUAGCUAGAUGGUGAGGUAACGGCUCACCAUGGCUACGAUAGGUAGGGGGCCUGAGAGGGUGGUCCCCCACACUGGUACUGAGACACGGACCAGACUCCUACGGGAGGCAGCAGUGAGGAAUAUUGGUCAAUGGGCGCAAGCCUGAACCAGCCAUGCCGCGUGCAGGAAGAAUGCCCUAUGGGUUGUAAACUGCUUUUGUACGGGAACAAAAUGCGACCUGCGGGUUGUACUGAGGGUACCGUAAGAAUAAGCACCGGCU